rnacentral:rRNA from 1 species
CUUGCUUUUGAAGAUCAGCGGCGGACGGGUGAGUAACACGUGGGCAACCUGCCUGUAAGACUGGGAUAACUUCGGGAAACCGGAGCUAAUACCGGAUAAUCCUUUCCCUCACAUGAGGGAAAGCUGAAAGACGGUUUCGGCUGUCACUUACAGAUGGGCCCGCGGCGCAUUAGCUAGUUGGUGAGGUAACGGCUCACCAAGGCAACGAUGCGUAGCCGACCUGAGAGGGUGAUCGGCCACACUGGGACUGAGACACGGCCCAGACUCCUACGGGAGGCAGCAGUAGGGAAUCUUCCGCAAUGGACGAAAGUCUGACGGAGCAACGCCGCGUGAACGAUGAAGGCUUUCGGGUCGUAAAGUUCUGUUGUCAGGGAAGAACAAGUACCGGAGUAACUGCCGGUACCUUGACGGUACCUGACCAGAAAGCCACGGCUAACUACGUGCCAGCAGCCGCGGUAAUACGUAGGUGGCAAGCGUUGUCCGGAAUUAUUGGGCGUAAAGCGCGCGCAGGCGGUUCCUUAAGUCUGAUGUGAAAGCCCCCGGCUCAACCGGGGAGGGUCAUUGGAAACUGGGGAACUUGAGUGCAGAAGAGGAGAGCGGAAUUCCACGUGUAGCGGUGAAAUGCGUAGAGAUGUGGAGGAACACCAGUGGCGAAGGCGGCUCUCUGGUCUGUAACUGACGCUGAGGCGCGAAAGCGUGCGGAGCGAACAGGAUUAGAUACCCUGGUAGUCCACGCCGUAAACGAUGAGUGCUAAGUGUUAGAGGGUUUCCGCCCUUUAGUGCUGCAGCAAACGCAUUAAGCACUCCGCCUGGGGAGUACGGCCGCAAGGCUGAAACUCAAAGGAAUUGAC